AGGUGACCAACUAUGUGGCAAGUGACCUUGAUGAAAGGAGGUUACUUAUUAGAAAUCCCGCCCUUCAGGAGAUUCUUUGUCUUCCCAGGAGCUUGCCUGGCAUGCCAUUUGGUGAGACAAGAACCCUUGCCCUGCCUCUCAAUUUCUGAAACAAGCUCUGUCCAACACCGCUGUGGAUGCUCUGCCCUCAAGAGGAGGCAAAUGGCCUGUUGGAGAUAUCAAAUCAACAUCAGCAAGCA